AGAGUUUGAUCCUGGCUCAGAUUGAACGCUGGCGGCAGGCCUAACACAUGCAAGUCGAGCGGUAGCACAGAGAGCUUGCUCUCGGGUGACGAGCGGCGGACGGGUGAGUAAUGUCUGGGAAACUGCCUGAUGGAGGGGGAUAACUACUGGAAACGGUAGCUAAUACCGCAUAACGUCGCAAGACCAAAGUGGGGGACCUUCGGGCCUCAUGCCAUCAGAUGUGCCCAGAUGGGAUUAGCUGGUAGGUGGGGUAACGGCUCACCUAGGCGACGAUCCCUAGCUGGUCUGAGAGGAUGACCAGCCACACUGGAACUGAGACACGGUCCAGACUCCUACGGGAGGCAGCAGUGGGGAAUAUUGCACAAUGGGCGCAAGCCUGAUGCAGCCAUGCCGCGUGUGUGAAGAAGGCCUUCGGGUUGUAAAGCACUUUCAGCGGGGAGGAAGGCGGUGAGGUUAAUAACCUCACCGAUUGACGUUACCCGCAGAAGAAGCACCGGCUAACUCCGUGCCAGCAGCCGCGGUAAUACGGAGGGUGCAAGCGUUAAUCGGAAUUACUGGGCGUAAAGCGCACGCAGGCGGUCUGUCAAGUCGGAUGUGAAAUCCCCGGGCUCAACCUGGGAACUGCAUUCGAAACUGGCAGGCUAGAGUCUUGUAGAGGGGGGUAGAAUUCCAGGUGUAGCGGUGAAAUGCGUAGAGAUCUGGAGGAAUACCGGUGGCGAAGGCGGCCCCCUGGACAAAGACUGACGCUCAGGUGCGAAAGCGUGGGGAGCAAACAGGAUUAGAUACCCUGGUAGUCCACGCUGUAAACGAUGUCGAUUUGGAGGUUGUGCCCUUGAGGCGUGGCUUCCGGAGCUAACGCGUUAAAUCGACCGCCUGGGGAGUACGGCCGCAAGGUUAAAACUCAAAUGAAUUGACGGGGGCCCGCACAAGCGGUGGAGCAUGUGGUUUAAUUCGAUGCAACGCGAAGAACCUUACCUGGUCUUGACAUCCACAGAACUUUCCAGAGAUGGAUUGGUGCCUUCGGGAACUGUGAGACAGGUGCUGCAUGGCUGUCGUCAGCUCGUGUUGUGAAAUGUUGGGUUAAGUCCCGCAACGAGCGCAACCCUUAUCCUUUGUUGCCAGCGGUUCGGCCGGGAACUCAAAGGAGACUGCCAGUGAUAAACUGGAGGAAGGUGGGGAUGACGUCAAGUCAUCAUGGCCCUUACGACCAGGGCUACACACGUGCUACAAUGGCAUAUACAAAGAGAAGCGACCUCGCGAGAGCAAGCGGACCUCAUAAAGUAUGUCGUAGUCCGGAUUGGAGUCUGCAACUCGACUCCAUGAAGUCGGAAUCGCUAGUAAUCGUAGAUCAGAAUGCUACGGUGAAUACGUUCCCGGGCCUUGUACACACCGCCCGUCACACCAUGGGAGUGGGUUGCAAAAGAAGUAGGUAGCUUAACCUUCGGGAGGGCGCUUACCACUUUGUGAUUCAUGACUGGGGGAAGU
rnacentral:rRNA from 1 species